AGCAGCCGCGGUAAUUCCAGCUCCAAUAGCGUAUAUUAAAGUUGUUGCAGUUAAAAAGCUCGUAGUUGAAUUUCGGGGUUAGCAAGUUGGUCGUGCCUUUGGUAUGCACUGGCUUUGCUGAUUCCUCCUUCUUGACGAACUGUGAUGCUAUUAAUUUGGUGUUGCAGGGAAACAGGACUGUUACUUUGAAAAAAUUAGAGUGUUUAAAGCAGGCUAACGCUUGAAUACAUUAGCAUGGAAUAACGAAAUAGGACGUUUGAUCCUAUUUUGUUGGUUUCUAGGAUUGACGUAAUGAUUAAUAGGGAUAGUUGGGGGCAUUAGUAUUCAAUUGUCAGAGGUGAAAUUCUUGGAUUUAUUGAAGACUAACUACUGCGAAAGCAUUUGCCAAGGAUGUUUUCAUUAAUCAAGAACGAAAGUUGGGGGAUCGAAGACGAUCAGAUACCGUCGUAGUCUUAACCAUAAACUAUGCCGACUAGGGAUC
rnacentral:rRNA from 1 species